CCUGGUAGUCCACGCCCUAAACGAUGGAUACUAGGCGUGAGGGGUAUCGACCCCCCUCGUGCCGCAGCAAACGCAUUAAGUAUCCCCCCUGGGGAGUACGGCCGCAAGGUUGAAACUCAAAUGAAUUGACGGGGACCCGCACAAGCGGUGGAGCAUGUGGAUUAAUUCGAUACUAACCGAAGAACCUUACCCAGGCUUGACAUCGAUGGCAAGCCCUUGAAAGAGGGCCCUCCCCCACAAGGGGACCUGAAGACACUUGUUGCAUGGCUGUCGUCAGCUCGUGCCGUGAGGUGUACGGUUAAGUCCGCCAACGAGCGCAACCCACGUCCUGUGUUACCAGCGAGAGAGUCGGGCACUCACAGGAGACCGCCGGUGUAAGCCGGAGGAAGGGGUGGAUGAUGUCAAGUCAGCAUGGCAGUUACGCCUGGGGCUUCACACAUGCUACAAUGGGCGCAACAAAGGGCAGCGAGGCCGUGAGGCGGAGUCAAUCCCAAAAAUACGCCCCCAGUUCAGAUUGCAGUUUUCAAAUUGGAUGCCUGAAGGUGGAAACGCUAGUUAACGCAGGUCAGGCAUACCGCGUUGAAUACGUUCCCGGGUCUUGUACACACCGCCCGUCAACCCAAUGGAAG
rnacentral:rRNA from 1 species